rnacentral:rRNA from 1 species
CACCGGAUACGACAGCGGGAAUGAUAGCCGGGCUGAAGACUCUGCUUGACUAGCUGAGAGGAGGUGCAUGGCCGUCGUCAGUUCGUACUGUGAAGCAUCCUGUAAGUCAGGCACGAGCGAGACCACGCCAACAGUUGCCAGCAUGAUCUCCGGAUUGAUGGGGACACUGUUGGGACCGCCUCUGCUAAAGGGGAGGAAGGAAUGGGCAACGGUAGGUCAGCAUGCCCCGAAUUAUCCGGGCUACACGCGGGCUACAAUGGAUGGGACAAUGGGUUUCGACACCGAAAGGUGAAGGUAAUCUCCUAACCCCACCCGUAGUUCGGAUUGCGGGCUGCAACUCGCCCGCAUGAAGCUGGAAUCCGUAGUAAUCGCGUCUCACGAUGGCGCGGUGAAUAUGUCCCUGCUCCUU